CAAGCCUACAGGGGGAGCUGAUUGAGUCGGCUGAGAUUGAACACGCAUUGUUCUGACCCUAUGAACCUGUUAGAUAAUUCUAGCGUAGGGAUGGUGGCUUUUUUGAUG
rnacentral:ncRNA from 2 species